rnacentral:rRNA from 1 species
AGAGCGAACGCUGGCGGCAGGCCUAACACAUGCAAGUCGAGCGCCCGUAGCAAUACGGGAGCGGCAGACGGGAUAGUAACACGUGGGAACGCGCCCUUCGGUUCGGAAUAACUCAGGGAAACUUGAGCUAAUACCGGAUACGCCCUUACGGGGAAAGAUUUAUUGCCGAAGGAACGGCCCGCGUCCGAUUAGCUAGUUGGUGAGGUAAUGGCUCACCAAGGCUACGAUCGGUAGCUGGUCUGAGAGGAUGACCAGCAUCACUGGGACUGAGACACGGCCCAGACUCCUACGGGAGGCAGCAGUGGGAAUAUGGACAAUGGGCGCAAGCCUGAUCCAGCCAUGCCGCGUGGAUGAUGAAGGCCUUAGGGUUGUAAAGCUCUUCGCCCGCGACGAUGAUGACGGUAGCGGGAGAAGAAGCCCGGCUAACUUCGUGCCAGCAGCCGC